rnacentral:rRNA from 1 species
AUGGCCAUACCAUGCUGAAUAUACCGGUUCUCGUUAGAUCACCGAAGUCAAUCAUCAUUUGGAGCGGUCAGUACUUGGGUGGGUGACCACUUGGGAACACCGCGGGCCGUU